UGAGUGCCUAUGAUGGGUUUAAAUAUACUCUGAGGUUUAUUUCUAUGAAAUCAAUUUCGAUCUGAGGCACCGA